rnacentral:lncRNA from 1 species
UUUUUUUUUUUUUUUUGGUACAAAGCAUAAUUAGCCUAUGAAAUCGAACCAACAACCAUGAUGAUAGUUUGAUAGGUACUGCACACAAAUUAGGUCGAUUAUUACUCUUGGUUUAGACAUUGUUUGUGUUUAUAAUUUUGAGUCGUUAUAAGAUGAUUAUAAAUUGACUGUAUAAAUAUGAUAAUUUAAUUAUUUAGAAAAUAAAAUGAAUUCCAAAUUUAUUUGAAUUUGUUCUAUUCCACAAAAAUAUAAAUUGCAAAGAUAUGGAAGCAAACAGAACCGUUUUGAAAAUAGUCUUAAGAUCAUCGAUAAAGUGAUCUUGCUUAUGCAAAAUAUCAAACACUAAAUCUAAAUCAUAUUGAUUAGUGCCAUGAGGUUGCAAAGUAUACAAACAUAGAAAAAGAGGGGCUAAAUCCAGCCCUUAGUUUUUAUACAUUAAACCAAAACUUUUUGUAACAUUUAAGUUAUCUCUCUCCAUAAUGAAAACAAGAACAAUAAUAUCUUUUCCAAAGAAAUAUAAAUUAUGUACCCUAGUUUUUAUGUUAGUUCUACAGAGAAAUUUCUUUCUAUUUUAUAUCAUUCUAACAUUUAUGUUUCUUUGAAGUUGCUUUAAAAUAUGUAAUUUUUCUACUUUCCUUUAAUGAGCCUACUAACUUUAUUUUGUUAAACCAUUUUUUGUACUAAUUUACACAUAAUCAAAUGAUAGAUGAUGUGAGAAUCCGAAAAAUUUCUUUAUUUUUAUUUUAUUUUAUUUUUUCGAAUACAUUUUCGUUACUUUACCCUAUUGCCUUCAUUUUUUAGAUAUUUUUACAAGUGAGUCAAGUUUUUAAAUCAUUUUCCUUGUAUAAAUUAGUACAUUUUAAAUUUAUAAUGUAUUAUGGAAGUGGAACUCACUAGUGAGGUAUGUGCGAUAAAUUUUUGAAGAAUAGGAGGAGUUUUGUGUAAAGGGAUAUUAUUUUAUAAGGUGUUAAGAGAUAAUUAAUUUAUGAAGAAUAGGAGGAGUUUUGUGUAAAGGGAUAUUAUUUUAUAAGGUGUUAAGAGAUAAUUAGAGGUUGGCUAGAUAUUUUAGUGAUUGAGAGACAGUAGGAUGAGGAUUAACCCUUGGAGGCCAUUUGUCAUUAAAGCAUUGGACCAUUGACUUUGACUAACACCUUUCUUAACCUUUUAUUAACAAAAAAUUGACCAAAUAUCCUAUCAUCUUCUCCCCUCUCUUGGCCUACUCCUUGGAGAGAAAAAAAGGAAGGAAAACUUCAUCUUCAUCUUCAACCUCUAGUUCUUGCUUGAAUCUUGAGUUUUCACCUUAAUCUUACAAAUCACUCCAUAAAAGUUGACACUUAGGGAGGAUUAAGGGCUUUGGUGGAAAGAUUUUGGAGAAAGAAACACUUGGUUGCCAUAUUUUCAUAGGGUUUCAAGGUAGGUAUAUCAAGAUGCCCUCUUUUCUUUUAAUAUUUGCAUAAGAGUGGAUUUAGGGCUUGAUUUUGGUAGUUUUCAUAAGAAAUUUCAUGGUUUGAGUGGUGAUUCAAAAUUUUCAGUUUUGAUGGUGAAAUUUCAGCUUUUAUAUGAUGCUUUGAGCUUGGUCAGGAUUUAGUAGUUUUGCUAUGUGAAUCUUCUAGCUUUUACAAGUUAUUUUGGCUUGCUUAUGGAAAAUUUCAGCUUGUAGUUGAAAUUUUCAGCUUAGGAUUUCAAAUUUUAGCUUUGUUGUGAUUGAUUUUGAGUUAGAAAAUUUGAUAUUUUGAAUGGUUUUGUGGCCUUAAACAAGUGUACUUUAUAGCUUGUAACUUGUGGUUAUGAUUGAGGUUGGAUUGAUAUGAAUGUUGGUGUUGAGUUUGGAUGGAAAAGUUAAGAAAAUAAGAGGAAGUAUUGCUGAAAAUUUUCCCGCAGAAGACUCUAAACAGUCUUGAAAAAUCUGUUAUAUCUUGAUGUAGAAAAAUCCAAAUUGAGUUUCGCUUAUUGCAUUUGAAACUAAAUUUAGAAUGCAUUCUACCGUGAAAAUUUCAGAAAUUUUCUCAAUUCCUAUGAAUAUCUACGAUUUUUCAAAGUUGACUGAAUUUUCACACCUGCUCUUUUUUUCUACUUGAUGAAGCAGCAACUUGAAACUAGAAUUCGACUGAUUUAUGGACAGAAAAGUAUAAAUAUGUAUUCUGGAAAAUUGUAGUCUUUUCAAUCUAUUUUCCAAUGGUAUAAAUUUUAUAAAUUUUGGACUUAAGAAACUUGCGAUAUGAUUUUUCAAACAAUGUCGUGCAAAACUAGAGAAAAUUCUGUUUCUUAAACUUGUUCUUGCUUCCAUUUCCAACUUUAAGUUGGAGUUGUUAAAUCAUUUUGAGCUUGGUUUUAUGAGUGGAAUUGAGAUUUAAAUGAAAGGAAAUGAGUUUCUUCAAAUCAUUUUAGGUCGGAUAAUUUUCAACUUUGUAUUUUGAAAGUCUUGUUCUAAUUUCUUCAAACAUUUGACUAUAAUCGAUGCUCUUGUACUCCAAAUGACUUUUGCAACGUUGAUUUAGUAAGCACAUGAGGUUUCUUCCUCGAUUGCAACAAGAAAAUAUUAUAUUUUGAUAGUUUAUACUGGCAUAAAAUUUGUAAAUUGAUGCAUUUUCUAAAUGAAGUUUUGAAACCUCAAUUUCUUCAUGUAUUUUGGCUUUGUAUUGCUAGUUUUUUAAUAUAGUAUAUGAUCACAGGACUUGAGAGAGUUCAAGAGGACGAACCAGGGUUAAAGUGAAGGGUUUGAAUUGAUUGGUGAGUGUUCCAAUUCAUGUUAUUUGAUUAUGUGUAACUUGAGAAAAUGCUAUUAUUUGCUUAAGUGCUCUCCUUUGAAUGACUGUUGUGAUUUUCUUAUGUUGUUAAUCUUGUGACAGCCCCACCUCCCCCUAAGAUGAACCAAAGGGUUCGGCAGACCGCCUGCCCGGCUCUCGCCGGGACUCAGUCAAACCUCCAUCAAAACUGAAAUAAAACUACAAGAAUCAAAACGAAAUGGAAGGGCCGCCGCCAUGCAGGAUCCGACCAAAUACAAGAAACUUUGUUUGCCAUGAAAGAAUGUACAUUCCCGAAUACAUAUGUUACAUAAACAUGAGGAAACACUUUAUAAUAUACACAUUAGUAAGUUUACAAAUCCAAAAGGAAACAUUGUAUUAAGAUACAUUUAGGGUUUCCAAUUUUGACGAGGAGCUAUACCAAAAGAAUCAAAAGAAUUUCUAACUAGCUCAACUCAUUCCUCAAAACAUUGAAGUUCCAAAAGAUGGUUCCCUGUAGAGAAAAUAAGGAUAACGGAACAGGGUGAGCUAAAAGUUCAAUGAGGUGCCCAAAAUAAUAACAGUCAAGAACCAAAGAACUUCAUGCUCAAUUAAUCACAUAAGUGUAGCAAAUAAGGAGAGGAACAAAACAACUUAGAUAAAAGGAUACAGGUGGCUCUCAGGAGUCAAACUCCCCGUUGCAGUACUUGAUCCAACUACGUUGACCCUCCGUCAACUUUCAAAUAAGGAAACCAAUCCAGUAGAAUACCACUUUAACGUCAAAUCCCGUUCACCAAUCAUACCCCUUACCGGACCCGAACGCCAAACAGGAACAGGAAUGGUAAUACUCGAGUAUACCGGAAUCAAGAGUCUCAAUACCCAAAGAUUCCCCCAGGAACAGGUACCCAAGGAUUGUCAAUUAUCUCGACCAAGCCCUUGCUGGCUCGAUUUAAUUAACUCCCCAUGAGGCUGAGCUCAAGUUUAACAGGACGAUCGUUGGACACAUUUCCAAACGAUCUCAUAACAAGUGUAAGUAACAAGUUCAAGUACAUAACAAGUACAAGUAAUAGAUUCUAGUUCGUUCAGUACAGGCAAGAGAACAAGUGUGAUAAAGUACACUCUCAUCUCAUAUAAGAUAAAAAGUCAGGAAAGAUAUUCAAAUAGCAAGUUGCAAGUACAGAAAACCAGUUUAGCAAUAAUUCAGGGGAGUGGUGCACUCACCUGAUCAAACAAGGAUAAUUUCAAAAGUUUCCUUCCCAAGUAUGGCUUUACUCGCCGGCACCUCCUAGAACAAUCAAGGCAAACACUUAAGACUGGACUCCAAGACCUAAUAAGUGGAAUUCGCAAGUAAAACUCGAUUACAAGUCAGGUGCCUAUCCAAAUGAACCAUUAAUUUAAAGCGAAGAGAUGACUUUGGAGUGAAAAGAUAACGAUUAGUCCUAAAGGCAUGAACAACCUCAAAACCCUACCUACAAUGACUGACCAACUCCAAAUUUGAAGUAGAAAAUGAAAGUAAGAUCGAUACUAGGAAAACAGGAUUUUCCAGUUUCGCGCAACCCUAUAUGAAAAAUCAUAUCUCAAGUUUUAUAAGUCCAAAAUUAGUAAAAGUUAUACCUUUGGAAAAUACAUUCAAAGGGCUAUAACUUUCCAGAGAACACCCUCAUAAGAUUCAGAACGCAAGUCAUACAAAUUCAAGCCUCAAGUUGCUGCUUUAUCCAGUGAAAGACAGAACAGGUACAAUAUUUCAGUCAACUUUGAAAAAUCACCAUAAAUGGUACAGACAUAAACAGGGUCUAAAAUUUAUACGGUUUAUACCCUAUGAAUCUAGUUUAAAACGCAACAAACAGAACUCAAUUUUGACAUUCCUACAUCAAGAUAUAGCAAAUUUCCCGAGACUGUGCAGAAGCUCCGCGAAAAUUUUGACAGCAUUUCCAUUGUCUUUCUUUACUUUCCAACCAAACCUCAACACCCACAAAUCACAAGCUAUCAAACACCUUUAAUUAGAGCCACAAUAAGGCUUGAAUACGAGUCAUAAACCGAAUCCACAUAUCACUAGAGUAAAAUCAUAUGGAACGUAUAAGUGCAAAAUCAAACUAGGACAUAUGCGGAAACGAAGUUUGCGUGGGAAAACAAAAGGCAGAUUUGCUGUUGCUUAGCGGAAUUAACACAACUGAAGCUAUCCUUGUCGAAUUGAGGUGUAAUUUACACCGUUUCGAAGCUAAGAGAAAGGGCUACAAUGUUGAAGAAGGCUACUCAGUCCAGUUUGCAAUGUAUCUAGGUCAAAUUUACCAAAACAACCCCAGAUUUUCCAGUUUGAAGUUUACUAUGAAAUGCAACCAGCAGUCGUGAUUCAUUCACUCAUAUCUCAGCACCUACGACUCCAAUUCAAGUGAUUCCAAAGCCAUCUGAAUGCUAAGAUACCAGGCUAUAAAUGUUAAGAAGACAUCAAUAACUAAAUCAGUAGUAUUCCCAGUCAACCUAACCAAUUAGCAAAGCUGAUUAUCAGUUUCAGACAGAAACAGGGCAGCAGGGGUGUUUCAAUCUUUUCACAGGCUACAUUGCUCCGAUUGGGCUGAAAUUUUUCAGGCAACUAUAAAACAUCAUCCUCUACAACUUUCAUGUUUUGUACUAAGGCUAGUUCAGCCUCUAACAUGGUGAAAUAGAACCGGACAGAAGCAGGGCAGGUUAUCAUCCAAGCUGGAAUUUAUGCUUACAAAGCAGAAAUUUCUUUAGGCCAAGUAAACUAGCAUCUAAACACUAGCUAUUUCACAUAUCAAAGCUAUCAAACCAUAACUAAUCAUAAAUCUUCAUAUUAGGGCAGAAAAUUCACCAAGAAACUGAAAUUUUCCAUAACACCACUUCCUUCAUGAAAUUUUUCUAUAAAACUACAUAACUCACAACUCUAAACCAUCCCCUAACAAUUAAUUGAAGUAAGAAGAAAGUUCUUGGUAACAUACCUUAAAAUCCCAAUAAAAAUGAUAGCUUGAUGUUUCCCUUUCAAAAACAACACCACCAACCUCUUAAAUCCUCCCUAUCAAGAAGUUUUUAUGGAGUACUUUGAUGUAUUAAAGAUUGGAACUCAAGAUUUGGCUUGGAUUGGCAAGACAAGAUGAAGGUUUUUCCUCUCUUUUUUCCUCCUCAAUAGCCGGCCAAGAAGCAUGAAGAAUGAAGAUAAUUUUGGUCAUUUUUUGGUAUUUAGUAAAGGUGAUGAAUAGUAGGUCAAAGUCAUCCUCCAAUAGUUACUUGACACUUGUCCAUUCCUAUGCUUGAUCUCAUCCUUUUGUCUCUCCUUACAAAUUAAUCUAACUAACCUCUAAUUAUCUCCUAACACAUAGUAAAUGAAUCUCUUAAUGCAAAACUUAACCUAAUUGGCCGAAUUUUAUCGAACUUACCGCAUUAGUAGGUCCCACAUCCGGUAUAUACUCUUAAAAGCUCAUGAACUAACUUAUACUAGAAAAAUACUUUUAAAAACCCUAUUUACUCAUAAACUUAUUUAGAAAAUUUUUUCCUAAUAAAGAAAUUGCAUAAAAUGCGUGUAAUUAAAUAAAAUAAGGUCUAGAAAAUAAGAAAAUUCAUGGGUUCUCACAAAUCUACUACGAACGCAUGUUCACAUUGCAUGAAUGCGUGAUAAAUGUGCAAGAAUGUAGGCUGAUGUGUACUUUAUCGCAUCAGCUGAACUGAGCUUAACCCUAUUCUGGCAUCCUAUCCGAGACCCGCCAUUUGCGAGGUCGGAUUAGCUGGAUAGCUUUGGGUUUAUAAUUUACCAAUGUUAAGUGCAAAACUCAAAACUCUUUGUCGAAAGGUCUCGAGUACAAUGUUUAAUGUUUAAUGUUCAAUGAGGGGAUUGUUGAUUUUUCGGAGUGUAGACACCAAAAUUUCAUUUAUUUUAUUCAAUUUUAGCUUUAUUCUUGUUUUAUUUUAUUUUAUUUUAUUUUUAUUUUAAUUGAUAGUUAAUGUUCAUUUUUUUUUAUAAAUUAGGUUUAUCAUUUUCAUUUAUAAGGUGAUUUUGCAUUAAAUUUCUAAAAAAGGAAAAAUUUUCACAAAAAUUCAAAAUUUGUCUUUAAACCUUUUAGAUUCAUUUUUUUAAGAUAAAUAAAAUUGUGCAAUGCAUUUGCAAUUAGGAGUUAACAUUUUUUUUGUUGUUUAUCUAAAUUGAUUUUGGAAAACAUAUAUAAUAAAUAAAUAAAAAUAAGAAGAUAAGUGUAAUAGGAGAUUAUUAGACAAGUGUAUUAAGGGAUCAUUAGACAAGUAUAUUAGGGAAAUAUUAGACAAGUGGAGUACAUGCAAAUAGGAUAAAUGUUCUCAUUCUUGGUUGACAACACACGCAAGGGUGGUUAAGUGGCUAGACACUUGAAAGUCUAGGAUAAUCUAGAAAAUUUGGGAAACCAAAAAAAAAAAAAAAAAGAGGGGCGGCUAGAAGGGAAACUAAGGAAGAGAACGGGAAAGAAACAAGCUAGAGAGUCUUGGGCUGAGGGAGGAAAAGAAAGCUAAGGUAAGAAACAAAGAAAAAGGCAGCGAGAGGAAGAGCAAGAUUGAACAAAGGCGGGGCUACGGGCUGGAGGAGAAAAAACUGGGAAAAAAGAAAGGGGGGAACCAAGAAAAAAACUACGGGCUUGAGGAGAGAAAAACUAGAAAAGAGAUUGGGAGAGGGUUGUGAGGAGCUUUGGGAAGACAGGAAAAAGAGAAUGGCGGCUGGGGGUUGGAGGAAAAAAGCUACGAGAGCUGGCGGUGAAGCUUUGGGAAGAAGAAGGAAACUGAAAACAAAAAAAACAAGGGAAGCUACGGGCUGAGGAACCAAUAGAGGGAGAGGAAACCAAAGAGAGCAAGGAAAAAUCUGGAACUAAGCAAGGAAAAUCUGUGAAAAGUUUACGGGCAAGAAACCAGAGGAAGAAAGGCAAGAGAGAGGGAAGAGUUUCGAGGGAGAAAGGAGAAAAAGCUUGGGGGAAAUCUGGAAAAAGGAGGAAAACCAGAGAGAAAAGCUACGGGUAAGAAGAGAGGGAGGAGAUUGAGAGAAGGUGGAGGCUGCCAAGAAAAAAAGAAAGGGAGAGGGGCUGUGGAAGGAAGAAACCGAGAGAGCAAGACAGAUUGCUGAGGAAAAACAAAGGAAAAGAAAAGGAAGAAGGUGGCGGCUGAGUAGGGAAAAGCAAGGAAAAGAAAGAAAAGAGAGGAGAAAAGAGGCGGAGCAAGAAAGACACAGAGAGAGGAGGGAAAAAUAGAGGAAAAAGGAGAUCAAAAGAAAAUUUUUGCUGGAAGAAACCCAGGGCUCAGGCUGAUUCAUCAGCCUGAUUCGUCUCCAAUUUCUGAUCAUAUUUCCGAUUUUCAGGGAGGUCUCUUCAUUUCUGCAAUAUCCUGGACUGCAAUGGAGAAGUUUUUGUUCAGAAACAAUUCGGGGAAAACAACUCCAAACCUGUUGAAUUGAAGCUUCAAUUCGCGGCACCGUCAGUCCCUGGAGAAAAUUUUGCAGCUUUCCACCAGUAGCUUUUUCGCACUUGAAUCUGCUUAUCUUACCGUGUCACGUGUUGUUCCGUCGUUUAAAACAUCAGAGGUAAUCUUUAAACUCUCUUCCGUCAUACAAGUUCGGAUUUAUGACAGAUUUCUUCCUUUUUGCUCUCUGCAUUUUGUGUUCUUCCUUUGCUGUUUUAUCUCCAUUUUUCUGUUAUAAUCUUGCGAUAAAGUGUAGCAUUUGAUCUGUUUGACGUUGGGAGUUGCAUCUUUAGGUUUUUUUGGUUCAAAGUUGAUGUUUGGUUGGAUGUUUUGUUUGAUGAAAUUGUGGUGGGCAUGAAACCAGAAACGUUGCAGAGAAAGCUAAUAAAGAAGAAAGCUUGCUUCGAUGCUCUGCAUGAAAAAUUCCAGAAAUUGCACUUUAGCCCUAAUUUUUCAACUAAUGCCACUAUGGACCAGAAAAUUGGAAAAAUAAUUAUUUUUGUCCUUUAACAUGUUAUUUUUCUUUGAUAUGAUUUAAUGUGAUUUUUGGAUCGAUUUUUAGUGAAUUUUAGGAUGAAAUUUGAGGUUUAAUAGUUUUGAGAGAUUUAUGAUUUUGAUUUGGAUUUUUAGUGAAAUUUUGGGUAUUUUUGUUGUUUAAUUGUAACAAAUGGUUUUUCAUUUAUUUUUUGUGAAUUUUAGUUUUGUUUUGGUAGGUUUCAUUCUUAAGCCAUUAAUUUUAAUUUAUUUUAAUUAGACCCCUAAUAUUUGUAAUAAUAACAAUUUGACCCCUCAAAUUUCUUUAAUUACUUCAAUUGGGUCCUUGUUUGUUUUAAUUUAUUGAAUAUGGGUUGUUUAUUUUUAUUUGAAUGAUUUGAUUGAUUCAAUUUCAUAUUUAUUUCCAUUUCAUGUGAUUAUUUGUUAAUUAAAGCGAUGUCUUGACCCUUUUUCUUUGUUUUGGAGGGUAAAUAAGGAAAACUUCACUUCAUUAGGUCACCAAUUCAAAUGAGGUGUACUCUGCUCUUUAUUUUAAUUUUACUUGAUCCUAUGUGCUCCUAUGUGACUUUAUGUGCGUAAUUGCAUGCUUUUUGAAUGUUUUUAUUUCAUUUAUUUAUUUAGUCACUUUAAUUGUUUUGAUUUUGUAUAUUUAUUUUAAUUUUUAUUUGGAAGACAAUUAAAUGCCACAAUUAUAAUAGUUAGGUUAUUAUUUCAUUUUAUUUCAUUUUUUUCCCUUUUAAAUUGUAGUUAGGGCCCCCAAAUGUAAUAGUUAGGGCUUUAUUUGAUUUAUUUGCUUUGUGUGCUAUGCAUGCUUAUGUGUUUACGUGUUACUCGCUUUCUUAGGGCCUUUUAUCUAAAUAUCAUAUUUAUGUGCUAUGUGCUAUAUAUGAUUUAUGUGUUUAUUUGCUUUAUUAUAUUUUACAUGAUUUAUUUGCCAACGCUAGUUGUAGCCCCCUUUUCUUCCGAUUUCACACUAGUCCAACGCUAGUUGUGGCCCUCCUCUCCGAUUUCUCACUAGUCCAAUGCUAGUGAGAAUUUAUAAACAUGGGCUAGUCCAACGCUAGACUCUUGGGAACCAUCCACACGUUAGAUCAUGUUUGUGUGACAAAGCACUACAUUUCAUGCAUAGUUUCUACUUUUGUAGGUUUUUUUUUUAUUUUGCAUGACAUUCCCCUUAUAUGUAUAUCCCUUAUCCCAUAUUUUCCUUAUAUGUAUAUUCCUUACCCCUUAUGUAUGAAUCAUGACAUUAGACUUGCAUUUCAUUUAAGGAAAGUUAGAACUAGGUUAGAUUAUUUUGCUUGAUUAGAUAUGAGAAAUACCCAUCGAAUAUGGGAUAUGGACAAAUAUGAUUUUCUAGCCUUAGCACGCUCGUAUUCCCUCUAUUAAAGGGAAAAUUAAAGUCACGAAUUUUAGCCCCCGCACCCGUUAUGAUGCAUUCCUUUAGGUCAUAUAUAUUUGUAUAAUUAUUAUUUUCUUUUAUUUUUCUUCGGGUCUCAUAUUUUUGCAUAUUCGUGACCUCUUCAAAGAGUCACUCUUGGGCAUCACAAUUAAUGUGAUUUGCACCAAUCAAGCUUUUGAAGAGAUAUUCCGACCCCCGACAUCUUCCUAGGUUUAGGUUUUUGCAUCCAUAUAGUGACAUCAAAAUGUGAUAAAUUCCUAAGUUAAAAUAAGAAAAUUUUUUGACUAAAUCACAUAACUAGCUUGGCUAGAUUGAAAGGGUACCUUGGAUUUUAUCCUUGCCUUCCCUUUCUUCAAAUGUGACUUCCGGCCUCUUUUCUCUUAAUUUUCGCAAACUUGAAGUCGUUUAAAAAGGGUUUUCUCUACUUUUUCUUUAAAAAUUCAUUUUAGGUGACUUGGUACAUUUUAACUCAAUACCAAGUGAUGACUCCUAUUUUUUUCUUAAAAACCCUUUUUAAACUAUUAUUUUUGGAUUAAAAUCGUUGCACUUUAAGUCCCAUUUAGGCCCAUUUUCUUUAUUUAUUUUCUAAAAAUAAAAAACUCCUUUUUACUCAAAAUAAAUCAAAAACCCAUUUUUCAAUCAAAAAUUUAUUUUUCUAAACACAUUACAUUUUCAUUUAAAAAUGGGGCGUGACACGGAGGGCAUAAGGUAAAUGUUAAAUGAGGGGAUUGUUGAUCUUUUGGAGGACAUAAGGUGGGAGUUCGGAGGUUAUAAGGUGGUAAAAUGUAGGGGAUUGUUUAUUGGUAGUUAUAAGGUGAAUAUUGCUCCUUGUGAGCCCGUAUCCUUUUAAUGUUUAAAUUAUUGUUCAUUCUUGUAUUUACUUGAACGAAUGAAUGAAUGCACGCAUGAAUGUUAUUGUUUAUCAAGUAUUUUACGCUGAAAGAUUCCUAUCACAAUUAAUUGCUCCACUACUAGUUUCUAAAGUUGAGUAUCGAUUUACUUGAACCUAUAUUAGUUGGGAAAACGUGCUUACAUGUUAAAUUGUGUUAUUCUCUUAUUUUGCUUGUUUACCUGGAAUGCUCACUGGACGUAAGCUCAUCCCACGUUUUGUUUUCCUUAAUAGGAUUCGGAUCUGAGAGUGCUGAAAAAUACUGUUGGAAUGUGUUGAGAGACUUUAAGUUUUUAUUUUAGUAGAAAUGACUGUAGUGUAUAUAUUUUUGGGUUGUAAUUAAGAUAGGCGCCAAAUGAUGAAUCUUUUGUACGUGAACCUAUGUAUUAGCUUGUGGAUGUAUGCAAGUGUUAUUUUGGGGUGUAAUGAAUAUUAUUUUGUUUAGUUUAGAAAUUUCAAGUAAUUCUUGCUAUGGAUUGUAGUGAGUCAUAGCGAGAGUUGGGCAGACGGUCCGCUGACCCCUCUAGUUUGCCUUUGGGGAAGUGGGGCUAUCACAGAUGAUCACAUGAAAAAGGUUAGGGAUAAUUUCAGAAACCUUCCUUGAGUCUUCUGACAAUUUCACUGAUACGAACCCUGCCAACUCUAUGACAAAACCUAUAAGAGACAAGUUCAAAAAUUUAGAAUAUGGUAUCACAGUUUGAUGAACUCCAAUGGAUGAGUUGAUGAUGAUAUGAUGAACUCCAAUGGAUCAACCAUUUUAUGACUUGAACAUGAACCAUCGGGACCUAGUUUAGAGUAGCGGAUUAUAAACGAUCAAGGACAAUUAGAAGAGUAGGAUAAUACCACAAUCUAGUGCAUUUCUAAAUUAAUAAAUCAAUUGAAACUCAAGAAUCUUCUUAAGUAUUCAAGUUUGGAACUCUUGAACAAGAGACUCGCGAAACACAAAGUAUUGCUGAAAUUUUCUUAAUUCAUCAUUCACUAUGAAAAACAUUGACACUUAAGGCUUUAUAUAGCUUUUACAAAACUCAAAACCUAACUCAACUAUAACUAAGACUUAACCUAAGUUCGGCUAAGAAUAACAACCCUAACUUGACUCAACUAACCUAACACUAAUUCGACUCCAACAUUGGUCCGCAUAACCUUUAGCCGUUUAUUCAACCAAACUAACAACUUAAAUUAAUUCCAAACUAACCCUAGUUAUGCAACCAAAAUUGUUGGAAUUAAUUUAGAGAAUGACAACAUAAAUCCUAAUAACAAUUAAAACCAAUAAACGAACUAAAACAUUGGAAGGGAUCCGGAUGUGAUGAACUCCAAUGGAUGAUUUGAUGAUGAUGUGAUGAACUCCAAUAGAUCAACCAUUGAUACGACUUGAACAUGAACCAUCAGGGCCUAUGUUCACAUCAUUCACUUAGCUCCCCUCAAAUUUGAAAACUUACUAAAAUAUCUAUAAUGCCCUCUACUUUGUAGACAAUUUUAAAUUUAAAGCAAUAAAUUUACAAAACCCAAAAAAAUCUAUUUUCUAUCUCUUAUUUAUUUUGGCUUCUCUCUUUUCUAGUUAACAUAACCUCUUUUUAUUAUCUUCACUUUUGUGGAUAUUAGCAAAUUGAGAUUACAAAAUCAAUAAAGGGAGUAGAUUAUAUGUCAAACUAGAAGGAAAUGAAGAGACUUGCAGUGAUAGAGAAAUAUAUAAUGAAAUUGAUGGUUGAAAUAGAAAAAAAAAUAAAGAUGUGGAAUUUGUCAUAUUUUGUUUGUUUUCAAGAAAAAUUUUUAUAAAAUGUCCAUAAUUACAUAAGAAUUUCUUUUAGUAGAUUAGAAAUUUUAAUUAUGAUAUUAUUGUGGAGGUAGAAUUUAUUCUUUACUUCAGAAAUAUUAAUAUUUUUAAAGACAUAGAAAGGUUGUAAUAGUGGUUCUAGAUCAGAUUAACUUGUAUUUAAAAAGUAUUUGAGCAUUGAUAUUUAAUUUGGAGGAUAAAAUUAGUUGUCAAUGGGGUUUUUGUGUGUGUAUUUUUUUUUCUUUUUUUCACGUGGUAAGUAUUGAUACUAUAUAUACAAUUUGGGAUCGACGGUUACUUAAUUUUAGAACUUAUGCUUGGAUGGUUAUUAAAGAUUAGACUUACUGAUUUGUGCAACGUGUGGAAGAAAAUGAUUGAGUGUAAUAUAUUUUUCUUUCUUAGUUUUGUACAAAAGGGAAAUUUAGGAUUUUUGUGAGAAAAUUUAUCUUGUUGGACCUACAAGGUUACUAAAUAAUAAAUGUAAGGGAGGUAUAUGUAAUUUUUAAAAUUUGAGGGGAGUUCUAUGUAAUUGUUAAAAAUCUUAGGAGAGGUUCGUGAGAUUUUAAUUGAUUGUUCCAUCUUGAAAACUAUAGAGAUUUUACUUUUAGAAACUUGAAAUGCAUAGACACUACUAUUUACAUGCUCAUUUGUAAUUGAAAAACUUCUAUUGCUAAAUUAAUCUGUAAAUUAAAAAAUUAAGAUUCUUAAGCACUUGUAAAUUGUUUAAAAUAUUCUCUUCUAAAUGGAGAUAUUUUUCUCCUUUUUUUUUUUACUUUGUCAACGUACAUUACUUAGGGGAGGGGAUCGGUUGAGUUGAUUUCGAAAGGGAAAGAAAAUGUAAACGAGAGGUCCCAUGUUCGAACUCUCCCACACACACUAAAGGGGAGGAAAAAAAUAUGGGCAAAUUUCACUUUACCCCCCUAUGGUUUAGCAUUUUUUUACAUUACCCCCCUAUAGUUUCAAAAGCUACACAUAACCCCCUUAUGGUUUGGAUUAAAGUGUCAAAGUGAUGGGAACGAUCAUUCAUAACGGAGUCACCUAAAAUGUCAAAAAUACCCUUAUGUAAAGUUGAAAAUUAUUUGUUAAUCAAGGGGGGUCAUGUGUAUAUUUUGAAAACCAUAAGGGGGUUAUAUGGUAAAAUAUUAAAUCAUAAAGGGGUUAUAUGGUAAAAUAUAAAAAUCAUACGGGAUUAAUGUGUCAUGUAUUUAUAAGGGUAAUUUUGACAUUUUUAGAAGUUUCGUUACGAGUGACUAUUUCCGUCACUUUGACACUUUAAUCCAAACCAUGAAGGGGUUAUGUAUAGUUUUUGAAACCAUAGGGGAGUUAUGUAAAAAAAAUGCAAAAUCACAGGGGGGUAAAAUGUAAUUUACCCAAAAAAUAUAUGUUAUUUAGAACUAUAAGAAGAAUCAAAUAAACUUAAUAAACAAGGGCAUUGUUGUCCAAUGGGCAUAUGGGGGUGUUGAUUUAGCCCCUCCCAGAUAGAAAUUGUUGAAGUUGACCAAAACAACAAGGACUAGAAAACAACGGCAAUCAAACAUUGACUAGAACAAUAUAAUUCUUUUUUCAAAAAGAAAUUAAAAAAAAAGAAACUAAAAUUUAUAUAGAAGUGUAAGAAUAGACAUGUCAAUUGGACCUUAUAAGCCAAAUUUGACAGACACGAGUUCAACUCAUUUCAUGUAAAACAGUAUUUAAAUCUAACCUCAACACAACUAUUCUGACAAAUAUUUAGAUCCAUCCUCAACUCAAUUAACUAAGUUUUGGGUCAAGUUUAUAUCCUCACUUUUGCUUCUUAGAUUCCUACUUAAUCGUAUGUAAUACAUUCACUAAGCAUGACCGUUUAGUGUAGUAUAUUGUAUUUCACAUGAUUUUCUUUAUCCCAUCCUUUUACAAUGUACAUUAUUGCCAUUAAAUAAAUUAUUGUUUUAUUAUCAAAAAAUCAAAAUUAGCCUACAUAAGAGAGUAAUAAUAGGAAAGAAUCUGGAAUUUAUAUUCAUAAUUAACAUCAGUUGUUCUUUAAAUACUACCAUCAUACAGAUAUUAGGAGGUAGUACAAAAUUGAAACCUUAAAAUGAUUUGCUUAUUCACUUAGGUUUUGUCAGUGUAAAAACUACUACCGUGUCUAUUACAAAAGACAAAACUAGUUGCCAAAUGGCAAUGGUUAAUAAUUUCACAUAAGCAUUAAUGACAUAUAACAAAUUAAGAAUCAGUGAUGAAGAAGUUAGCCGUUGAUAAUAAAACAGAAUCACCUUUCUAUAUAAAUGAAAUUAGAGUUUUUUUCACUUUCACAUUCAGAGUUUGAAAUCCUAGAUUGAUAAUUUAGGAAUGGAAAGCGUAUGGAAAAGGGAGGAAGGAUUUAGGGGAAAAAAAAUUAGAUAGUAGAGGUUCACCAACGUGCAUUAUAGGGGCCUAUGUACAUAUAUGAGAUUGGACAAAUGAAACUCGUUAAAGCGAAAAUAAGUGACUGUAAUUUAAAUUUGCAUGGCCUCUCUAUGUAAAUGCGAUUGGACGGUUCGACAACUGAAGUGCAAUAAAAUGAGCCGUCUAAAAAAAUGAGAUUGGACAGUAAAGACCCACAAAAGCACGCUACCGGUUGAUAAGAUACAGAGUCGCAUUUUCACAUGAAUGAGAUUGGACGAUCGGGACUCACUUAAGAGCAUAAAAGUAGCCCGUUUAUACAAAUGAGAUUGGACAAGUGAGACCCACUAAAGUGAAAAUAACUGAUUAUAUGUAAUUUGAAUUAGCAUGGCCCCUCUAUGAAAAUAUCCUGGAUCGGACUUAUAUUUGUAAGUGGAGCCUAAUAGGAUAAUUGUUCUUGGGUCUACUAUACAUUACAUUCGGCCGAAUCCUUGGCAUUUUAACCCUGAUCCAAUAGGAGAAUACCUUUUGGUCAAACAAAUGCCCUACACUCCCAACUAGGGUUGCAAACAAAUUAAAUCGACUCGCGAACUCAAACAUCGAGAUCGAGCUGAUCAAGUCGAACUCGAAUUCGAAUUUGAAUUCAAAAAUAUUAAAUUCGUUAACUGAUGAUUAUAUAUAUAUAGUUUAUUUUAAAUGUAAAAUUACACACAUAUAUAUAUUCCUAAUAUUUUAUUAUUUUAUUAUAAAUUAUUAUUUUAUUCAUUUAUAAAAAAUAAAAUAAUUAUUUGUUAUAUUUUUUAAGCUCAAGCUUGACCUAAAUAUUUUGAACUCGUCAAACUCAAGCUCGAGUUCAAAUUUUAUAAAAUUACGUUGAGACUCGACUCGAUUAGACCGAUACUCGAUUCGACUCAAUUCGUUUGCAUCCUUACCCCCAAGCCUAAACUUUUCAGGAUUGAGAGUAGAAUGAUUGAAAUAAAUGUAGCAAGAACUAGAGUUGGUAUUGAAAAGAAAACCCAAAAUCAAGUAGGUGCCAAAAUCUAACUGGAGGACAGGAGUUCAUAAGUUACUAGAACUCAAAACAUAAUGGAGGAGAGGUAGGAACAAUUGCAGGAGGUAACAGUUGCUCAUAGGUACCAACCGUUCCGAAAGAUUGAUGGUCAAGAUUUGAUCAAUAAUGUAAGGUUCAGAUUAUAUCUUGUAUAUUGUUUAACAUCAUUUUUCAUAUCAUGUAUGAGAUUCACAAAAUUUUAUUCUAUAAUUACACGUUAUUGAAAGUGAAUUAUAUUAUAUACACACAAAAUUACAUUUUGUGCAUUUUACACAAAAUCGGUCUGAACGAUUUUUCUGAUGAUUGUUUGGACCCAAUGUCCAAACAUAAUUGACAAAUACUGUGAACUUGAUUUUGUAAAGAUUAUUGAAAGAAAAAGUUUUUCCAACUCCCAAAAAAUGAUGUUUAUUUUCCAAAUGAGGCUGCUUGCAUUUCAAAAAUACAACUUUUGGAAAGUACACAUUUUAUGAAUGCGACUUUUGAAAAUUCUUUGUAUUACGAGUUAUUUUUUUUAAUGGCCUAUUUUACAUUUCACAUGCUAACCUUAAUCACUUUGAUUACUUCAGCCAAAAAAAAAAUUAUAAAAUAUUUUGCCUGCACAUGCUAACCUUAAUCACUUCAAUUAACCUUUAAUCAGACUGAUAAUUUUUCAUGACUUUUUUUUUUCUUUACAUUGAACAUGCUAACCUUAAUCCUUUUGAUAAUCCAAGCUUAACCAGGUUGAUUAUUUCAGCAUAAAGUCCCUGGUGAUAUCUAUUAAUCAACCAAACCGAUGUUUCCUGUCUUUAAGUCAAGGCUGAUAGUUUAACUCAUGUACAGAACUGAAAAAGGGAUCCUAGGUACAUGUAAAAAGUAAAAAUAUGUAUAAACUCCUUUUAAUUCACAGCUUAAUGCAUUAAUAGGUUACCCUCAAACAUAAAUUUACAAGAAUUAGACCAAACAGUCAGCAAGUACAGGAUAAGAUCUCGUUCUGUCUGAUUUAGCACUGUCCAGAAUAUAAACUUGAAACUAUAUAUGAGAUGAAACCUGACACAGUUUUGCAAAACCACAACACUGAUUCUAAACUACACUGCUGAAAAGCUACGAUUACAAAUUUUGUCAAUAACUAUAUACUUAAAUGCCAAUUAAAGAUACAAGUGUUUCCAGUACCAAGGUCUCAACUGUUAUUGUACAGAACCUCUUAUUCCUACAACUGAAUUUCUACGUUCUAGUCAGUUGAUGUGCCUCACCUUACUCAAUCUAGGACCUCUCUUCAU